GCCAGCAUGGUGUGGCGGUUUGAGCACUGGACUACGAUUCUGGAGGCUAGGGUUCGAUUCCCUGCUUGGACA